UUUAAAUUGAGAGUUUGAUCCUGGCUCAGGAUGAACGCUGGCGGCGUGCUUAACACAUGCAAGUCGAGCGAUGAAGUUUCCUUCGGGGAACGGAUUAGCGGCGGACGGGUGAGUAACA
rnacentral:rRNA from 1 species